GCCCUAACUGGUUUGGCUCAGUGGAUAGAGCUGUGGACGAAAGGGGCCGCAUGCUGACCUGACAAGCUCAGGGGAGGCCUGCAUGGCGGUCUUGCAAACUCAGAGACCUAAAGUAAUCAUAAAAGAUGGUCUGAAAUGAAAAUUUUAACUAAAAGCAAUU